AUGACGACAAUGCAAGCCCCAGCGGCAUCUUCCAAGAUGGUGCUCGUGAUGUUCCUGCUCGCCUUGGACUUGGCGGGGGCAGCCGCCGACAGUAGCCGGAGGAGGCUCGUCUCCAGCAGCUCCGACGAGCCGUGCAAGCAGAUGACGCUCUACCUCCACGACAUCCUCUACAACGGCACCUUCUUCGGCAUGCUGGUGGUGUUCGACGACCUGGUCACGGAGGGGACAGCGCUACCGGUCGGGGACGAGGAGCCGGCGGCGCGCGCGCAGGGUUUCUACUUCUACGACAAGAAAGAAUCGUACAACGCAUGGUUCACCUUCUCCCUCGUGUUCGACUCCAAGGCGUACAAGGGCACCCUCAACCUCAUGGGCGCCGACCUCAUGGACGACGAGACGCGCGACCUCUCCGUCGUCGGCGGCACCGGUGACUUCUUCAUGGCGCGCGGCAUCGCCACCAUCCGCACCGACGCCACCGAGGGCUACUUCUACUUCCGCCUCAAGAUGGACAUCAAGCUCUACGAGUGCUACUUCUGA
rnacentral:rRNA from 1 species